CCUACGGGAGGCAGCAGUGGGGAAUAUUGCGCAAUGGGCGAAAGCCUGACGCAGCGACGCCGCGUGAGGGAUGAAGGCCUUCGGGUUGUAAACCUCUUUCAGCAGGGACGAAGCGAAAGUGACGGUACCUGCAGAAGAAGCACCGGCUAACUACGUGCCAGCAGCCGCGGUAAUACGUAGGGUGCAAGCAUUGUCCGGAUUUAUUGGGCGUAAAGAGCUCGUAGGCGGCUUGUCACGUCGGGUGUGAAAACUCGGGGCUCAACCCCGAGCCUGCACUCGAUACGGGCUAGCUAGAGUAUUGCAGGGGAGACUGGAAUUCCUGGUGUAGCGGUGAAAUGCGCAGAUAUCAGGAGGAACACCGGUGGCGAAGGCGGGUCUCUGGGCAAUUACUGACGCUGAGGAGCGAAAGCGUGGGGAGCGAACAGGAUUAGAUACCCUGGUAGUCCACGCCGUAAACGGUGGGCGCUAGGUGUGGGGAACCUUCCGACGUUCUCUGUGCCGCNGCUACGACAUAGCGCCCGCCGUCGGAGACGCGCGAGACGAACUACAAGAAGUAGACGCGUGAGACGUGCCGACGACGACGACGAGGGAGGAGG
rnacentral:rRNA from 1 species